UACGGGGGGGGCAAGCGUUGUUCGGAAUUACUGGGCGUAAAGGGCGCGUAGGCGGCCUACUAAGUCGGACGUGAAAUCCCUCGGCUCAACCGAGGAACUGCGUCCGAUACUGGCAGGCUGGAAUCCGGGAGAGGGAUGUGGAAUUCCAGGUGUAGCGGUGAAAUGCGUAGAUAUCUGGAGGAACACCGGUGGCGAAGGCGGCAUCCUGGACCGGUAUUGACGCUGAGGCGCGAAGGCCAGGGGAGCAAACGGG
rnacentral:rRNA from 1 species